UACGGAGGGUGCGAGCGUUGUCCGGAAUCACUGGGCGUAAAGGGCGCGUAGGCGGCCUGAUAAGUAGGGGGUGAAAUCCUGCGGCUUAACCGCAGGGCUGCCUUCUAAACUGUCAGGCUAGAGCACGGUAGAGGCAGAUGGAAUUCCUGGUGUAGCGGUGGAAUGCGCAGAUAUCAGGAGGAACACCCAUAGCGAAGGCAGCUUGCUGGGACGUUACUGACGCUAAGGCGCGAAAGCGUGGGGAGCGAACAGG
rnacentral:rRNA from 1 species